UACGUAGGGGGCAAGCGUUGUCCGGAAUCAUUGGGCGUAAAGAGCGUGUAGGCGGCCAGAUAAGUCCGCUGUGAAAACUCGAGGCUCAACUUCGAGCUGUCGGUGGAAACUUUCUGGCUAGAGUCCGGAAGAGGAGAAUGGAAUUCCUGGUGUAGCGGUGAAAUGCGCAGAUAUCAGGAAGAACACCCGUGGCGAAGGCGGUUCUCUGGGCCGGAACUGACGCUGAGGAGCGAAAGCGUGGGGAGCGAACAGG
rnacentral:rRNA from 1 species